rnacentral:lncRNA from 1 species
UUGAAAGGGAGGGGAGGGGAGGGUUUUGGAAAAAGGAAGGAGCAAGUGGAAGAAAUAGAAGACAUUGGGAGGAAAGCGCUUUGGAGGUUAAUUUUUUACUCAUAACAAAAAAUCCCCCUCAUUUGGGGGAACUCAAAAAUUGUAUUAGGGGAGGGUUAUGGAGGGUUUAUAUGAAUUUUUCAAAUUCAAUCUAUGUUGUUAUAAUAUUCUUAAAAUUAAAAGUAUAUUAAUCAUAAGUAUUAGUUUAUCAUUC